AUGGUGGCGGCGGGGCCUCGGUUGCCCUACUUCUGUGUGGGGAACCCCGGAUCUGGAGCGGCGGCUCCAUUGGCAAGGCACGGCCGACUAGCAGCCGUGCGGGCGGUGGAUCUGGUGUCCCGACCACGUGGGCGACGGGAUCCGGUGGUCGUUGGCGGCCGGCGGCUGCUUCAGCGGCGGCCGGUGCGCACGAUCUAG
rnacentral:rRNA from 1 species